rnacentral:lncRNA from 1 species
UUGGUGUGGAGAUGUGGAGAUAAUAGUUGCAGAUAUUAGCACAUUUGAAAUGGAAGGAUCAAAUGAGGUUACUUAAAUAAUCUGGAGGCAACCACGUCUACUUUAGAUUCAACCGGAUGGUUAACAAUAGGAGACCUAUGCCACAUUGAUGAAGACGGGUUACCCUUUGUUUGUGCCUUUGUAUAGUAACUCUUUGUUUAUGUCUUUGUUCGCAAUCGAGUUACUUACGUUUCUACUCCGAUUUUUAAUCAUGGUUGUUGAUGUAUGAUAAAACAAAUUG